AUGAUUGCUCAGCUGACAACGAGUGAAAUGGCAUAUUAUAGUGCAGAUUCAAUUGAUGAUAGUUGUCCUAAUCAAUCUACUCUAGAAGCAUUAUAUCCAACAGAGUUCCUAAACAAAAUUGAAAUGCUGGGACUUCCAGACCAUGCAUUACAUUUGAAAAUUGGCGUACCUAUCAUGCUUCUGCGUAAUCUUGAUCCAUCAAGGGGACUAUGUAAUGGUACUAGACUCAUUGUUACACAACUAACUGGCCGUGUCAUAGAAGGACAAAUCAUAACAGGAAAAGCUAUAGGUUCAAAGGUAUAUAUUCCUUGGAUUGUCACUACAUCAGAUCAAUCUAAGUGGCCUUUCAAAUUGAGGCGUCGCCAGUUUCCUAUUCGCGUCUCAUACGCUAUGACAAUAAACAAAAGUCAGGGGCAAACACUAAACCGAGUUGGUGUCUACUUACCAUCUCAUGUCUUCUCCCAUGGCCAAUUAUAUGUAGCAUUUUCAAGGGUUACAUCACCAGACGGUUUGCGGGUUCUGAUUGAAAAUAGCCCUGUUUCUUAUGAGCAUUGCACGCAUAAUGUAGUGUAUGCAGAAGUUUUUAGUCAAAUUAAUAGGCGCAGAAGCUAA
rnacentral:rRNA from 1 species